rnacentral:rRNA from 1 species
UGAGGAAUAUUGGUCAAUGGGCGAGAGCCUGAACCAGCCAAGUAGCGUGCAGGAUGACGGCCCUAUGGGUUGUAAACUGCUUUUAUGUGGGGAUAAAGUGCGUGACGUGUCAUGCAUUGCAGGUACCACAUGAAUAAGGACCGGCUAAUUCCGUGCCAGCAGCCGCGGUAAUACGGAAGGUCCGGGCGUUAUCCGGAUUUAUUGGGUUUAAAGGGAGCGUAGGCUGUCUAUUAAGCGUGUUGUGAAAUAUACCGGCUCAACCGGUGGCUUGCAGCGCGAACUGGUCGAAUUGAGUAUGCAGGAAGUAGGCGGAAUUCAUGGUGUAGCGGUGAAAUGCUUAGAUAUCAUGACGAACUCCGAUUGCGCAGGCAGCUUACUGUAGCAUAACUGACGCUGAUGCUCGAAAGUGCGGGUAUCAAACAGG